rnacentral:rRNA from 1 species
UACGUAGGGUGCGAGCGUUGUCCGGAAUUACUGGGCGUAAAGAGCUCGUAGGUGGUUUGUCGCGUUGUUCGUGAAAACUCACAGCUUAACUGUGGGCGUGCGGGCGAUACGGGCAGACUGGAGUACUGCAGGGGAGACUGGAAUUCCUGGUGUAGCGGUGGGAAAUGCGCAGAUAUCAGGAGGGAACACCCGGGUGGGCGAAGGGCGGGGUCUCUGGGCAGUAACUGACGCUGGAG